CCACACGUUUUCCAAUACGAAUGGCAUCAUGUGUGUGAAUUUCUAUAUACAAACAUUCGAGUCGAAGUUUUGUAAGCCAACACCGGGUGUACGAAAUGUCCGAGUAUUCACUGGGAGAACAACCCUCCAAUUUCAAGUUUUGAGUCGAGGGAAUUUGGAAUUUUCGAUCGAAUACGGAAAACGUGAAACUUUGACGUAAUGAGAAUUCGAUCUGCUGUGUCGCAUAACAAAUGUUGCUUGAAAAUAAAAUUCAGAAAUCGCUAAAAUAUUUUUCUACUGUGAAAAUUUAUGGAGGAGUAUGAACGUGAACGUGUGCUUUCGAAUAUUUGAUAGCACUUCACGUGAAAAAUGGAAUUUUUGUUUAAAUUGUAGGAUAAAAAAUGGGGAAAAUGGUGUGUCGUAGGUGGAAUGGGUUUUAAUGUAUGAGAUUUGGGGCUCGUUGUAAUUCUCAAUAAUAACCCGGGAAACUAAUGAAAGGUAAAACAGGUGGACGGGGAAAAAAAUAAUGAAUAAAGGGGAAUUCCACGAUACUCAGACGGCUGGCGAAUUCGGAGAACGGUUUCAGUUCGAAUUUAUUAAACAAAAAGUGUGGAUCCGAUGGUAGAGAGCACGAGAGGUGGGAGGAGACGAUACCAUGGAUAUGCAGCCAUGAUUGAACACGGAAAAACGAUGAUGAGAAGCCACAGGAUUCCCGAGAACGUUGAUCCAGCGAUGACGGGAAUGUCAUUCGACCGGUGAACGAAUAAAUCCGGGGUGAGACAGAGCCUUAAAUGGUCUUCACCAUAGGAUUCUCCUCGUGGUUUUCAGAUACCCCAACAAUUUUCAACCUCAUUUUUAAAUAAACUGUGAGAAAAUGAGAACGACCGACGGGACCCUGAUGAAAUGCUGGUGGUGGUCUCCAUAAAAUGAUUUCAUAAGUCAAAUGUAAAGUCAUGAAAUCUUAUGAAAUCAUUCGGAACCGUUGAAACCGGAAGAUUUCAUUGAUCGAGAUCGGGAUUUUCCCAUUACUCGAUAGUACUUUCACUCAGAAUUUCUCUCUGGAAUUCCUGAUCAAUGAUACGCAAUUUUUAUUAAACUCAUUAUGUCGCCGUGCGGCCGAUCCUAAUUCCCGGGUAUCGGAGAUCUCUAUUUAUUUAACAACAAUAUUUUACUCGAUACUGAGGCCGCGAGUGAACCGGAAACCUUGUCCUAUUUGACUAAUCUCCGCAUGUAAAAUUCUCGUUCGAAACACUUAAAUUUUUAGGACUUGACCUCUCGGAGAUCGUGAGAAUAUCAGGCACUUGCCGAUUUCCGAUAAUUCCGCGUAUAUAACCGCACGUUCUGGUAUGAACGAUCAUUAGAAAAUUCAGUCGUUCGACGAAUUUGUUUAUACGACAAGUGACCGGAAAAAUUGAUCAUGAAGUCCAUUGUCUGUUGUCUACUGAUCGCGUCGGUACUGGUGGCUGUAGCUGAUAUGGCUCGUGUCCCUUCUCGGGUGAUGGUUUAUCAUCACGGAAAAAAUUACGACGAACCACAACCAGAUUACAAUAGAGAUCCGAGACCUGUCGACCGGAUGAACUAUCGAGAACCAUAUGGCGGGCGUUUAUACUAUUUUUAAUGAAGUUUAAGUCAAUCAGUUUUUCAUUUUACAAACACGAGAAUAAAGUAAUUAUCCGUUAAUAAGUUUUAAAUACCAAAUAAAAUACAAAAAAGGAAA